UAACAAGGUUUCCGUAGGUGAACCUGCGGAAGGAUCAUUGUCGAGUUCCUUUUCGAACAGUUGUGAAAUUGUGCUCAUACCCGACGAGUACUACGUGUUUGUGCUAUUAGUGCAUGCGUUGUCUUGGCGGGUUCCCUUUUGCUGCCUUCGUGUUGCUUUAUUUGAAGUGAAACGAAGAGCAGAAAUAAGACACCGGCACAGUUUGUGCCAAGGACAGUUAUUGUUGGAGUGCAUUGCCAUCGUUUUGAUGUGCUUUGUGCUAUUCUAGCGAGCAUCUGAAUGACUCCUGGCAAUGGAUAUCUUGGCUCUCGUGUCGAUGAAGAACGUAGCGAAAUGCGACACUUGGUGUGAAUUGCAGAAUCCCGUGAACCAUCGAGUCUUUGAAUGCAAGUUGCGCACGAGGCCAUUAGGUCGAGUGCACGUCUGUUUGGGCGUCAUGUAUAGCGUCAUUCCAAUCUCCCUCAUGCGACGAGUGCAUUUUGGGUUAUGAUGGAUAUGGAGAAUGACCUUCCGUGCUUUAAUUGUAUGGUAGGUUUAAGUGAUUGUCGUUGCCAGUUAUAUGCGAGGCGAAUGGUGUGUCGAGUUAACGCACGAUGUCUCUAAUCGCGUCCAUGAGACCUAGGCAUGACUUAGCACUAGCUAAAACCGAUUUCGAUGUUUGCUUUCGUAGCAGGCUCGGACCAUGACCUCAGAUCAGACGGGGCGACCCGCUG
rnacentral:rRNA from 1 species